AGAGAAUAUAACGGAGAGGUAUUAGUUCGCAGGUACGCACGUAAAAUGAUGUGGCAGCGGUGUAGUACAUCAUUGGUACAUUGGAAAUACAUGUGUUCUUCAUGCAAUCAGUCUCGCGCAUGCUCUGAGGUGGAAUGUGUGAACUCAGAUUUCUAUGUGAAAAUCCAAAAAGUAAUGCAUAGUCACUGACUUUUUGUGAGGUCGUUAAGAGUUUAGAAUGCUUGAUUAAACUAGGAAAUUUAUCGAAAUUUCACAAAUUCUACAUUUUUAAUUGUUUCAACGAAAAAGGGCAAUAUAAUCCAUUUUGUAAAAAAAAAUGUGUUUUACGUGUUGAACAUAGGCAGUUACAAUUGUUUUUGUGCUGCAAAAGGAGGCAUAGUCACCUGCUUUUUGGGGAGGUCUUCAAGAGUUUAAAAUGCUCGAUUUUAUAAGGAAAUUUAUCUAAAUUUGAUAAAAACGACAUUUUCAGUCAUUUUGAAUAAAUAAAAGGGGAAUCGUGAUCAAUUAAAAAUAUUGCUUAAGUACAUAGACUUACGUGUUAUAACUAACUUGUCAUGCCCAAAAGGAGGCAUAGUCACUGACUUUUUUGGGGGGUUGUGAAGAGUUUAAAAUGCAUGGUUAUAAUAGAAAAUUUAUUAAAUUUGAUAAAAUCGACAUUUCUAAUCUUUUCAAGAAAAUAAUAGGGGGAACUUAUCAAUUUUGGAAAUGGUUGUUUUACGUAUAAAACAUAUUGCGGCUACAAUGCUCAAAAGGAGGCAUAGUAACCUGCUUUUUGGUAGGUUUUCUUGGUUAUGAAGGUUGCGAGGAUGCAUCUCUAACUUCUCAACCUUGCUCUCAUCCAAAAAUCAAAAAUUAAAAAGGUAGAAUAAUAUGCGAAAUAUGACACAGGAAAAAAAUCCGUUAUCACGUGCAAUACGCACGUACCGUAGACCGUACAAAAAUCGAGCCGCUAAAUCGCUCGAUCUACUACACCUCGACCGCGAAGUAAAAUUUCUUCCAUUAAUUACUCUUUGCUGAGAGAGCUAGAGCGCGCGCAUCCCAGCUCGACUCCGUUUCUUGAUCUUCUUCUUCUAAGGUUAAGCCUGUCUUUUUCUUUUAUGCUGAAAUGUUUCUGUUACAGAUGAUGGAACUGAGAGAAGGAGAAAACAGCUUUAGUUACUUCAUCUCCAGAUGUCAUAUUGAAUAGCCUGCAGUUACUGUCCAUUUACAACUUCAUGGGUAAGCACAGAAAAGAAGCAAGAAGGGCAUAUUUGAAAAGAAGAAGAUCAGCAAUGAGAGAAACAAAAUUAGCUGGGAAUGAUUUGGAUGAUACCCAAAUGAGUCACAUGAAAAUUGAUAGCCCAGCUAAUGAAGAUAACAGCCAUUGCAUCCAAAUCAAAAUGACUGAAAAACACACCCCUUUAUUCUGUACGCCGCCAAAGUCAAAGUCAUCAUCAGCACUGCUACCAUCAUCGUCAAAGUCAUCAUCAGCACUGCUACCAUCAUCAAAUAUGUCAAAUUCAUCAGCACUGCUGCCAUCAUCAAAUACGUCGAAUUCAUCAGCACUGCUACCAUCGUCAUCAAAUACGUUGAAGUCAUCAGCGCUGCUACCAUCAUCGUCAAAUACAUCUAAGUCAUCAGCACUGCUAGCAUCGUCGUCAAAUACGUCAAAGUCAUCAGCACUGCUACCAUCAUUGUCAAAUACAUCUACAUGUAAGUCAUCAGCACUGCUAUCAUCAUCAUCAAUGUCAUCAUCUUCAACAGUUGCACUUUUAAGAAGAUGUAUUCCAAGGAAAGUGCUAAAUGACUGUCUUUUCACAAAGUGGAAUGAGUACAGACUGUUAUAGAAACAGUUUACUCUAAUCAAAAGACGCCUAAAUGUUAUAGAGCAUGGAGAGGGGGGUGGAAGUUUAAAUUGAUUGGUACUUGAUGUGAAAUAAACAACAUUGAUUGCUUAAGGCAAGUACAUGUACAUGUAUAAGGGGCUAAAUUUAAUUGGUCUGGGAUGUUGAAUAUGUCUAUAAAUGUAGUAGCCUAUUUUACAGCAAUACUGCAAAACUAGAGCAAACUGAUGCAAUACCGGCUAUCUUGAGCACUGACCAUAGAUGAAUUAGGCUUUAGCCUAUUGCAUUUGUAGGCCUACAGUAUUCUAUUGGGCUGGUGAUUAUCUACUGUAGUUGGUCUUACAGUAGACCAGGUUAGAAUUUGAAAGAUGUUGUUGAUGCCUUGAUAUCAAAAUCAUGUGACAGCGAACAUCCUGUUAUCAUUUUUUUUCUUUGAAUUUGGGACACUGUAAUAGUGUAGUUACAUGUAUAUAAACGCUUAUCUUAAAAUGGGAUUUUGAAUGAGUACGAAGAUGUAUGCAAGAAGAUAAAAGGUACAUGUAUUAUCAUCCCUUUCAAAAUACUUGAUGUUCAUCAGUUACAUGUAAUCUUCCAAUAUAGAAAGCGGUGUGUAAUUCCAUGAUUCUUAAUCCUUUAGUUUGGUCAGAAAAUAUGAUUUUUAAAAAACAAUUAUUAGACUUAUAUUUUGCUAAAAUGCUGUCCCCCAUAAUGUUCUGUUCUUUGCCUAUAAGCUCAGAUUUUGAAGUUAGAGAAGUGAAGUAUGCAAUUUCACUCGGGUCAAAAGGACAUUUUAUUUUUAAGAAUCCAAAUUUGAAAAAUUAAUGAUUCCUGAUUGAGUAUUAAAUUGAGAGAGUACAGGCAUGUAUACAUUCCAAUCGCAGUAACAUCCUUACAGGAAAUUGACCUUGACUGAAGGAAUGUACUCAAAUACAGCCAAAAGGGGCAUGAUUAAAAAAUGACCCAGUUCUAUUUAGCAUGGUAUAAUACACUGUUUGGUUUCCUUUUUGUGUACUUGGGUAAAUUGAGAGCUGGU